rnacentral:rRNA from 1 species
GACGAACGCUGGCGGCGUGCUUAACACAUGCAAGUCGAGCGGUAAGGCCCUUCGGGGUACACGAGCGGCGAACGGGUGAGUAACACGUGGGUGAUCUGCCUCGUACUUCGGGAUAAGCCUGGGAAACUGGGUCUAAUACCGGAUAUGACCGCAUGCUGCAUGGUGUGUGGUGGAAAGAUUUAUCGGUGCGAGAUGGGCCCGCGGCCUAUCAGCUUGUUGGUGGGGUAAUGGCCUACCAAGGCGACGACGGGUAGCCGACCUGAGAGGGUGACCGGCCACACUGGGACUGAGACACGGCCCAGACUCCUACGGGAGGCAGCAGUGGGGAAUAUUGCACAAUGGGCGGAAGCCUGAUGCAGCGACGCCGCGUGAGGGAUGACGGCCUUCGGGUUGUAAACCUCUUUCGACAGGGACGAAGCGGAAGUGACGGUACCUGUAGAAGAAGCACCGGCCAACUACGUGCCAGCCGCCGCCGUAAUAC